GGGGUUGUGGCUCAGUGGUAGAGCACUUGCCUAGUGCAUGCAAGGCCCUGGGUUCGAAUCUCAGCACCA
rnacentral:tRNA from 1 species